rnacentral:misc_RNA from 1 species
UCCCAAACUUCAAGCCGAUGC